ensembl:misc_RNA
GGCGGGACCGAGGGGCUGAGCCCACGGGGGAUGGGACGGCGUCUGUCACGUGACACGGAUUCACUGUUUACACGCGCAGCGGGCCGAGUGUUCGGCCUCUGUCAGGCGCUCGGCUCCGUUUCGGUU